UAAAAAAAAAAAUGGGGGGGGCCGGGGGGGGUUUUUUCCCUUGGGUGGGGGGGGGGGGGGGGGAAAACCGGGGGGAACCCCCCCUUGAAGCUUGUAAAUUUCCGGGAAACCGGGGUUAAUCCCGGAUGUUUGAUGGACCCCCAGGUUCAAUCAUAAAAGGGGCUUUUAGCUACCCUUCCCGAUGGACCCGGGGGCCUUAGCUAGUUGGUGAGGUAACGGUUCACCAAGGCGACGAUGCGUAGCCGACCUGAGAGGGUGAUCGGCCACACUGGGACUGAGACACGGCCCAGACUCCUACGGGAGGCAGCAGUAGGGAAUCUUCCGCAAUGGACAAAAGUCUAAAGGAACAACGCCGCGUGAGUGAUGAAGGUUUUCGGAUCGUAAAACUCUGUUGUUAGGGAAGAACAAGUACCGUUCGAAUAGGGCGGUACCUUGACGGUACCUAACCAGAAAGCCACGGCUAACUACGUGCCAGCAGCCGCGGUAAUACGUAGGUGGCAAGCGUUGUCCGGAAUUAUUGGGCGUAAAGCGCGCGCAGGCGGUUUCUUAAGUCUGAUGUGAAAGCCCCCGGCUCAACCGGGGAGGGUCAUUGGAAACUGGGGAACUUGAGUGCAGAAGAGGAGAGUGGAAUUCCACGUGUAGCGGUGAAAUGCGUAGAGAUGGGGAAGGAUCCCAGUUGGAAAGGCGACUCUCUGGUCUGUAACUGUCUCUGUAGUACGAGAACUGGGGAAGCGAACAGGAUUAGAUAAAAUGGUAUUCCACACCAUAAAAAAUGAGUGCUAAGUGUUAGAGGGUUUCCGACCUGUAAUGCUGCAUUUAUGCAUUAAUCACUCCGAAGCGAGAGUACGGUCGAAAGACUGAAACUCAAAUGAAUUAAGGGGGGCCCGCACAGGCGCUGAAGUGUGAUAUUUAAUUCGAAGUAACGGGAAGGACCUCUCCAGGUCUUGGCAUUCUCCGACAUCCCUAGAGAAAGGGCUUUUCCUUCGAGGGCUGCGUGCCGAGUGGUGCAUGGUUGUCGUCUUCUCGUCUCGUGGGAUGUAGAGUUGGGUCCAACAGCGAGCGCACCCUUUCAUUAUAUCUGUUAGCAUUAAGCUGGGCAUUCUAAGGCGCCUGUCCGUGACAAACCCGAGAAAGUUGAGAACGAUAACAAAUCAUCAUUCCCUUACUGACCCGGGCUCCUCACGUGCUACAAUGGGCAUCGCAAAGAUUUACAGACCCGCCGGGCUGAGCUACUCACACAAAAUUUUGAGGGGAUCGCAGCCUUCAAUCCGCCUGCGUGAAGAUGGC
rnacentral:rRNA from 1 species